rnacentral:rRNA from 1 species
UACGUAGGGUGCGAGCGUUGUCCGGAAUUAUUGGGCGUAAAGAGCUCGUAGGUGGUUUGUCGCGUUGUUCGUGAAAACUCACAGCUCAACUGUGGGCGUGCGGGCGAUACGGGCAGACUAGAGUACUGCAGGGGAGACUGGAAUCCCUGGUGUAGCGGUGGAAUGCGCAGAUAUCAGGAGGAACACCGGUGGCGAAGGCGGGUCUCUGGGCAGUAACUGACGCUGAGGAGCGAAAGCGUGGGGAGCGAACAGG